rnacentral:rRNA from 1 species
GCUGGCGGCGUGCCUACACAUGCAAGUCGCACGAGAAAGGGUAGUAAUACCUGAGUAAAGUGGCGCACGGGUGAGUAACACGUGACUAAUCUACCCUCGAGUGGGGAAUAACUGAGAGAAAUCUUAGCUAAUACCGCAUAACACUUACGAGUCAAAGCAGCAAUGCGCUUGGGGAGGAGGUCGCGGCCGAUUAGCUAGUUGGCGGGGUAAUGGCCCACCAAGGCGAUGAUCGGUAUCCGGCCUGAGAGGGCGCACGGACACACUGGAACUGAAACACGGUCCAGACUCCUACGGGAGGCAGCAGUGGGGAAUUUUGCGCAAUGGGGGAAACCCUGACGCAGCAACGCCGCGUGGAGGAUGAAAUCCCUUGGGAUGUAAACUCCUUUCGAUAGGGAAGAUAAUGACGGUACCUAUAGAAGAAGCCCCGGCUAACUUCGUGCCAGCAGCCGCGGUAAUACNAGGGGGGCAAGCGUUGUGCGGAAUCACUGGGCUUAAAGCGUGUGUAGGCGGACUCCUAAGUACCUUGUGAAAUCCCACGGCUUACCCGUGGAACUGCUGGGUAUACUGGUUGUCUUGAGCUUUCUAGGGGCGAGUGGAACAAAUGGUGGAGCGGUGAAAUGCGUAGAUAUCAUUUGGAACGCCAAUGGUGAAAACAACUCGCUGGGGAAAUGCUGACGCUGAGACACGAAAGCCAGGGGAGCGAACGGGAUUAGAUACCCCGGUAGUCCUGGGCCGUAAACGAUGUCGACUAGAUCGUGGUACCUCUGACGGUUUCACGGUCGAAGCAAAAGUGCUAAGUCGACCGCCUGGGAAGUACGGUCGCAGGGCUAAACUCAAGG